UCAGCAGCUGCUCUGAGGAGAACAGUAUCUGUGUCUUACAUAACAAUUACUUGGAUGAUUUUCUGCAGGGAGUUGCUAUUUUUCUGUUGACAAGGCACAUUGAAUUGAUCAUUUGGCAUUACAUCAUAUUCAAUUUACUGUCUCAUAACACUUUAUUUGUUUUAUAUAAGGAGUUGUGUGCCAGAGGGCUUUGAUGAUGUUGAAAAUGCGCCAUUUCAGUCACUCACCUCCACUGCUAAUGGUUUUGCUGCCAGCUCUUUAAACUUGAAUUAAUUUGGCAACUUAGCUCUCAAGUAGAAGUAGGAAAUCUACUUUUGAACAUAGAUCAAGCCAGCUGGAAGCCGAAAUGUAAGAGAAUUUCUGAAGACAUAGCCAAGUCCCAAGGACAUGACAGAAAAGGUGGCGGAUUCUUGCUUUAGAAGACAAAUGUAAGCAGGUAAGAAAAGAAAAGAAAUUUCUUCCCCUACUGUGGCUGUCUGAAGGAAUAAUGGUGCCCUAGGCAACAGAUACUGCUGACUUGUGGAAAUAAAUAGCCUACUGUGGUCUGAAGAGACUACCGUGAAGAAAACAAACCACCAUGAGGACAAGUCACAGCAUCCCACCCUCCAAAGUCAAUCUAAAGGGCUGGACUACACACAUCACAAGAAAUAAUGUGCAGCUCUAAAUACCCUGGAUUUUUAUUACCUGGUUCUCUGACUUCAGUUGCUUCAUAGUCAUCAGAAGGGCUCUACUACACACAGACUUCUGAGUCCCACCUUACACUUCUGAUUUGGAAUUCAUAUGAGUUUCCAGGUGUUGUGGGUCCAGGGUAGCACCUUACAAACCACUGCUCUAUUCCUAUCUCACAGCUUCCUCCUUUUGUAGACGUUACAGCUAUGGAAUUAAAUAUGGAUUAUAGGGAUAUUGAUACAAUUUACCUGCCUUCCCCCACCAAAAUGUAAUUUCAAGUCAAGAGGUAUUUAUUGACAUUUUAUUCUGGAAGAACUGGGGAAACAAUAAUAAAUAAAAGAUUUUUUUUUUACUUCAGAGAGCAUAUAUACUAAUAGAGAAUGCAGAUAACAAAUAUCAAAGCAAACAUGCCAGUGAAAUAUGAAUUAUUUGUAUUUCAGAUUGGCAUUAUCAAAAGGAUAUUCAAUAAGAAAAUAUAUGGUAGCAUGACAGAAAGUACCUAGGUGUUAGGGUAUCAAUAAAUGUUGGUCAGGAGUGACUCUUGAAGUGGAUGACAUUUAAGAUGAGAGCAGGGAAGAGAGAAGAAAAGAAAAAAAAAGGAAAAGAAGGAAGAGAAAAGAAACUAAGAAAUCUCUUAUUAAUAAUUUGGAAAAUACCAACAGAAGAAACAGAAUAGACGGAGAUUGGAGAAGUCACAGGUUAGAAAGUAAGAUGCUGAUGUUACGCUUCCCAGUGAGAAAAACAAAUAGAGAUAUUGUCACUUCUACUUCUGAGUCCCAAUGCUUAUAUUAAUAUCUGGGACAUACAAAGUUCUCAAUAUUUAGUUGUUAAGACAUGAGAUCUCUGCCCUCCUCCUCUCCUCUCUCUGCUCUCUGCCUCUCCUUUUCAGGCAGCCCCCCAAUAAAAUCUAUAAUUCUUAGUUGAAUAGAUGAGCAAUUUGUUGAGAAAAAAAAAUGGGUAUAAAUUUCAAUGGAUGAGGAUAUACUUCAUGCAAAUAGAGAUACCACUAUAUUUUAUAGUUUUUUUAAAUACUUCAAAUGACAGAAUAUAUUAUUAACCAUUAUUCUCAAAUUUCUCCUACAAGUACCAAACAAAGAAAUAAUUUAUUAUUAAAAUGGAGACCACAGGGCUGGGGUUGCAGCUCAGUGGCUGAGCACUUGCCCCGCACCUGUGGGGCACUGGGUUCAAUUCUCAACACCACAUAUAAAUGAAUAAAUAAAA